UGUCAUAGCUCCAUCACCUCCUCUUAGCAUGUUUUAAAGAGUGCUCCCUGACCUCUUUAUUGAAGAAAAAGAAGAGCCUGGAGGUUCUUACUUGAAGGAGAAGUUUCUUGGCACUGGAUUCCAGACAAGCAUCGCUUGCGCGCUGCCCCUGCCAAACAAGACAGCUGCCAGGCGAGAGGGGCGGGCAGGAGAGGAAACCCCAUUCCCUAGGGAAUACCUCCAAGUGAGGAGCUGUGCAGCACCCUUGGCUUCAGGGCAGUGCAGGAGGCCUGGAGGACUAUAUUCCCUUCUGAGGUCCCUCACUCUUGCCCAGCACUGCAGAGAGAGGCUACAGGCAUGUGAGGGCAUUUACUGUGGCCAGGUCUCUAGAAACCAGGCAUGGCAAAGCUUGUGGCUCCAGGGCAUCUGUCCUAUUUGUAGCCUUUCACGAGUGAAGUUUCAAUAAAGCUCUUUUUAAUGUGAGCCCUUCAGUGUUUAAGUGAAAGUGCAGAGCAGCCCAACUGCUUCAAGAACAAGAAGGUAUGUGAAACAAGGCACUACAUCAAUUACUUACGUGUCAUGGUGGUGGAGAGUGAGAAAACUGAGAGGAAAUGCAGGGAAUUUGUUGCAGUGCAAUUUAGAAGCAUCUCAAUACUCCCCUCAGUAUGCUUAUUGCUGGUCCACUGUAUUCAGACAAUGCUUUUAAGCACCAGCAUUGAGCCACACAUGGGGACUGCGAACAUUAUUUUAUCCAUUGUGUUAUCUGCCUCCUUUUAGUGAAAUGAAAUGAUGCCAUGUUCCACAUACUGUUCCUUCCCCUGACAGCAGCCACAGGGCUCAGGAAACUGCUCAGAGCAGCAUGGGCCAUCUCCAGCAGACGCUCCCAUCUGGGCAGGCACUUGGGAAGCUGCAGAGGAGGCAGGUGUGCAGCUGCCAACCCCCACUCCCCACGGGGAAAGUGCUGCAUUCCCGGCAAAAGGAACCUCCUGGCGCGUGCUCCCGUCUCGGGGGUCCGCCUGGCCUUUUUCUGACAGCGUAAUUUCCUUAGGAGUCUCAGAGUCUGACAUCUCUGUUCAUGACCCUUUUUUCUAAGCAACAUUAAUAUCUGCUGCAGGUCUGGCAGGUGCAACGUCCGCUAAUUGUGUCUGCAUCGCCAGGCCUUAUUCAAACAGGCCUGUAACAUCCGAAUUUCUACUUGGGCAAUGAACAGACCUCCUUUUUUCCUGGGAAGAGUGCAUUGCUCGCUCAGGAGCUCUUGGCCAACGAUUCCACAUCAGGAAGAAACAUAUAGUUAGGAAAUUUUGCCUAAGCCAUCACUGUGAAAACUCAUCGGUAUGCCUGAUGGAACUGAAUAGCAUUUGCCAGUCUGAAUUAUGUCUUGUGUCACAGGCAUAACUGAAGUACCUUUAUAAGAUGAACAAGGAGACCUUUACCUCAAAAAGCCAGAAUAAGUUGAUAUGCACUUGACUGACAUGGCCAUCUGAGGUGACGGAAAGCAGCACAGUGGGAAUCCACAGUGACCAGACACUGAGCCAAGCAGAGGGUCCUUAUCCAGCUUUUUGGAGUGAGAGUUAAACAGCCUCACAUGCUCACUGCUGCCAUUCCAAAUCCUAUGGAAAAGGGCAAAAGGACUUUGAGGUCUGUCACAAGGACUUUACUGUGGCUUCACUGGAACAUAAGAAUAACCAUAAGGGCUCAGAGGAAGGUACAUCUCAGCAUCCUGUCUCCAGCAGUGGCCAUAGCAAGUGCCUAGGGUAGAGUAAAAGAACCAGAAUUUUCCUGGAGCAUGUGCAGACUACUAGGACCCCAGAGAUCAGAAGAGAUGAGUCAACCACAGUUUGGAAACUACAACAAUGACAAAGAAAAUCCAAAUCGCUGUUCUAGGAAUCGGCUGCACUGCUGGCAGCACUGGCAAAUGCCUGGUCAGGCCCCCUGCAGAUGAUACACAGCCAUAGUUCUUCAUCAUCGAGUGUGAUGAAGUUAGUCCAGUUCAAGUGGAGACAGGAGUAUGUGGCUCCUGAAACCCAAUUAUCUGAAAAUAUGCUUUGUGCAUUGCUAAUAAGAGAAGGGAAUAGUGCUACUAGACAUCAGUUUCACUUUGUAGCCGAGGGUCUGGGAGGAGAUGCAGACAAAUGUGUUGAUACCUCACACUGAUGACAGGAAGUAAGAUUAUCAAGGCGGUGGUCCAUGAAAAAAAGAAUAAGGUUCAAUUUGGUCUAGAAGCUAGAAAAAUACAUACAUAAAACAGCUAGGAGCUGCUACAAAAUAUAUCUAUCUCUGUAUUUAUAUAUAUAUAUGAAAUGAAAUUUCCUAUGUGGUUAUCCUUACCUGUCUUGCUUCCUAUGCAAGGAACAUUAUGCAAUGAUUAAGGAAUAUGAUCAUGACUCUUAUUGAGACAAGAGUGUCUUGUCAAUCAGCAGCCUAAUCAUUGAUGAGAUUGUAGCAGAAUAUUCCUACACAUUUAAAUUAAUACUGGAUUAUAAAACCUUCUGCUAUGGCUGUGUAUUUGUAACUUCUGCCUCUGAAGUACAGUCAAUAGCUCUUCCCUUGCUCUGUUUUUCAGUACCUUGAUUAGAGCUGAACAAAUGCUCUGGUGAGUGUCAAGCUUUACAGUUUCUCUGCUCUUUUUGAAGUUACUGUGAAAUAGUUCCUAAUGCUAAAGAGAGACUAUAACACAUUAAAGCACAGGCAUGUAGGAACAGUACAAGGUGUUGUCAGCUAUGGGAAA